AAAAGGCUUUACCUUUAGUGUACACAGCUGCCAAUUUGAAUGACCCACAUCCAUAAAUUGAAAAAAUUGGAGCCUCACAAAUUCUCAAACGGUAUAAAGCGGGGACCCAGUUGCCACUGCUGAUGAUAAAAAGCCCCUGGUGCAAUAUGUACUUGUCUAGGGUUUCGCUUCAGAAUUGUGACAACUGAAACUGACAAUGGUUUCUUCUACUGUUCUUCAGUUGCGUGUUCAAAAAAUAAAAUAAAAAUAAAACCCAUAAUUCAGCCAUUUUUGUUGAAGUUUUUCAUAAGUUGAGUAAUUAGCUGAAGAAAUUGGAGCCUCCUUUGAUGGCUUAGGUUCAAUUAGAAAAAAUACCGGUUUCCUCCUCACGGGUUCAUUAGAAAAAUGAACCAGUUGGCGCGAGG
rnacentral:lncRNA from 1 species